rnacentral:rRNA from 1 species
UACGAAGGGGGCUAGCGUUGCUCGGAAUCACUGGGCGUAAAGCGCACGUAGGCGGCUUCUUAAGUCAGGGGUGAAAUCCUGGAGCUCAACUCCAGAACUGCCUUUGAUACUGAGGAGCUUGAGUCCGGGAGAGGUGAGUGGAACUGCGAGUGUAGAGGUGAAAUUCGUAGAUAUUCGCAAGAACACCAGUGGCGAAGGCGGCCAACUGGUCCGGUACUGACGCUGAGGUGCGAAAGCGUGGGGAGCAAACAGG